rnacentral:misc_RNA from 1 species
GAUGAAGAACGCAGCGAAAUGCGAUAAGUAAUGUGAAUUGCAGAAUUCAGUGAAUCAUCGAAUCUUUGAACGCACAUUGCGCCCCCUGGUAUUCCGGGGGGCAUGCCUGUCCGAGCGUCAUUACAACCCUCAAGCUCAGCUUGGUGUUGGGCCCCACCGCCCCGGCGGGCCCUAAAGUCAGUGGCGGUGCCGUCCGGCUCCGAGCGUAGUAAUUCUUCUCGCUCUGGAGGUCCGGUCGUGUGCUCGCCAGCAACCCCCAAUUUUUUUCAGGUUGACCUCGGAUCAGGUAGGGAUACCCGCUGAACUUAAGCAUAUCAAUAAGCGGAGGA